UACAGAGGUCCCAAGCGUUGUUCGGAUUCAUUGGGCGUAAAGGGUGCGUAGGCGGCGCGGUAAGUCGGGUGUGAAAUCUCGGGGCUUAACUCCGAAACUGCAUUCGAUACUGCCGUGCUUGAGGACUGGAGAGGAGACUGGAAUUUACGGUGUAGCGGUGAAAUGCGUAGAUAUCGUAAGGAAGACCAGUGGCGAAGGCGGCAUCCUGGACCGACAUUGACGCUGAGGAGCGAAAGCCAGGGGAGCAAACGGG
rnacentral:rRNA from 1 species